GGAGGAAGCAGGGGAUCGCAAGACCUUGCGCUUUUGGAGCGGCCGAUGCCUGAUUAGCUUGUUGGUGAGGUAAAAGCUUACCAAGGCUUCGAUCAGUAGCUGGUCUGAGAGGACGGCCAGCCACACUGGGACUGAGACACGGCCCAGACUCCUACGGGAGGCAGCAGUGGGGAAUUUUGGACAAUGGGGGCAACCCUGAUCCAGCCAUGCCGCGUGAGUGAAGAAGGCCUUCGGGUUGUAAAGCUCUUUCAGCCGGAACGAAACGGUUACGGUUAAUACCCGUGACUAAUGACGGUACCGGAAGAAGAAGCACCGGCUAACUACGUGCCAGCAGCCGCGGUAAUACGUAGGGUGCGAGCGUUAAUCGGAAUUACUGGGCGUAAAGCGUGCGCAGGUGGUUUUGUAAGUCAGAUGUGAAAUCCCCGGGCUCAACCUGGGAACUGCGUUUGAAACUACAAGGCUAG
rnacentral:rRNA from 1 species